rnacentral:rRNA from 1 species
AACGAACGCUGGCGGCAGGCCUAACACAUGCAAGUCGAGCGCGCCCUUCGGGGUGAGCGGCGGACGGGUGAGUAACGCGUGGGAACGUGCCCUUUUCUACGGAAUAGCCUCGGGAAACUGAGAGUAAUACCGUAUACGCCCUUUGGGGGAAAGAUUUAUCGGAAAAGGAUCGGCCCGCGUUGGAUUAGGUAGUUGGUGGGGUAAUGGCCUACCAAGCCGACGAUCCAUAGCUGGUUUGAGAGGAUGAUCAGCCACACUGGGACUGAGACACGGCCCAGACUCCUACGGGAGACAGCAGUGGGGAAUCUUAAACAAUGGGGGCAACCCUGAUCUAGCCAUGCCGCGUGAGUGAUGAAGGCCUUAGGGUUGUAAAGCUCUUUCAGCUGGGAAGAUAAUGACGGUACCAGCAGAAGAAGCCCCGGCUAACUCCGUG